AGGGCCGGACAGGGCAGGAGCAGUGAGACCAGGGAGACCACGGCAAAUCAGGGCAUUGGUUUACCUGUGCAGGUGAGGAACAGUGGUCAAUUCCAACUCAGAGGUGGGGCCCGCAGACAUGGCCAAGCUCUCGGGCAGCCUGUGACUGCUGGCCAGGGGAUAUGAGUCCCAGAAAAUAUUACAGGAUUAUUGACUGUGGAUUAUAUUAACUAGUGUGUGCGUUAGAUAAGACUGCAAGCAUUGUGUCCACGAUGGAAUGUCAACUGCAAAACUUAAGAUAAACUGCAGAACUUAGACUUCAGUUAGGGAUGUAGGAGUCUACACCCGGGCGUACACCCCAGGGCUCACCAGCAAGCACGACAGCACUGGAACUUCAAAGCCCACCCUUCUGAGAGCCGGUGGGACUAACAGGACCCAGACAGAAAGACCAGACCUCCUUAGCAGUUGUCCCCCGGCACCAGACUCCCCUGGCCCAGAUGGAGUUCCAGCGGCCCGGACUUAAGACACGUCACAGGUGAGCGCCUGGGACCCUUGGGUGUAGACUCAGUCAGGACUUACAAUCAGGAUGUGUCUGAAGUGUGAUGAGCAUCAAUAAAAUAGAUCUGAUUGAAUCUAACUGCUCCUCAGACUAAGUCUGUAGCAAGGGCUCGGGACACCAGCUUCCUGCCUCAAGUCUAGAUUGUUACCAGGUGAGGAAUUUCCACCCUGGGAAGCCGUGAGUGGUGGGGUGGGAAGGAGUAGAAAGAGGCCUCACUGUGAGCGUCUCUGAGAAAAACACGGCCCUCCUUCUCUUUCUCAAAAGGGUUCCCGUGCCCCAAGAACAGAAGUCUCGUCUCAGGAUCUGCACCCUCAGGAGCUCCCCUCUGUCUACCCACUGGUGGAUGGUCUCCCGGCUGGAUUGUGGUUCCCUCUGGGUCAAAGAAUUAAACUGAAGAAAGUGCAGCAGGAGGGCUCCGUCUGCUACAGAGAACCAUGACCCUUUCCUGGGGAUGAGGAGGGAAAUCCACUCUUCAGGCUGAGAUCCAGGCCAGGAGGGUGCAGGGUAAACUGCUCAGAAGAGCUGGAAGCCGGGAUGGUGUUGAUAUUAGGCGUUGGCUCUGAAGAGAAACUGAGUCAAGAUCAGAUGGCUCCAGAGAUGCAAGAUGCAGAGGUGCACUUGAGAGCAGGGAGAGGUGGACAAGACCAUGGCUACUUGGAUUCCAUCGCUUUGCCUGUCACACCAGUGAUGUGAAUGUUAAAACCAACAGUGUCUAUGCUUUUUCUUUUCUUUUCUUUUUUAGGCACAAUGACAGAAGGGAGAGCUGGGACUCCUGCAGCUCACACACCCAAUUUUGGGAGGAGAGGAAUUACAUGGGAUGGAGGGGGAGGAGUCCAGGACUCACGGGGCUCACCAGCUACAGACUCCCAUAACCACCCUGGACAUGAGCUUGCUCUGCAGGGCCUGAACUUGGAGCACAUCUGAGAAACAGAGUCAGCUCAGAUGCUGGUGGCCAACGAGGUCUGCCCCUCCCACAGCUCAGCUGCACUUGGUCAGCAGACAGUGACUUUCUGGCUCCUAAGUGCAUUUUCCAAGGUGGGAUUUCUGAUAUCAGCUGGAGGGGUACAUUUUGCAUAUAACUCCUCCAGAUACACCCAAUAAGAAAGUGUUCUCAGCCUUGGCCCUCUCCUGCAGGGAGCCAUUUUACAGUCAUUUAAAGACUCCUGCGUCUUGGGAGGAGGCAGUCCUGAGCUGAGGUGGGCUCUCCCAGGUGCUGGCUUGCAGUAGGGAGGGCAGGAGUGGAAGGCAGCUGGAGCAGGAGGAGAGAGGCCCCCCACCCGGGGGAAGGGCUGCAGCCAGGCCCUUGGGAGGGACAGUUGGCAUUGUCUGCAGGGAGUCACCAACACUGGAUUCAUAAAGAGUUUUAAGGUGUAGAAGUUGGGUGCCAGCAAGGGUGAGGCCUGAGCAGGGAGACCCAGAGGGAGGACCUGAGCCCGUAGCUCGGGGGAGCUAAGCAGAAUAAGAAAGCUAGCAAGGGAGGAAAAGCCUGGAAACCCGGAGUGGCAGCAACCAAAGGAAGCCAACGGGAGAGAAGGUCCCAGGGACGGGCUCUCGGUUGUCAUGGCAACUGAACUGCUAGUGACUGAAACUUCCAACCCAGAAGGAAUAAAUGGCUCUUUAGUUCCCCCACCCACCCUGUCACCAGGUAUAGAGCAGCCCAGGGCCAGAAGUCGAUGACCGAUAGCUAGAUAGACCUGGAUCAGCUGACCAAGGCCGGAAUAGAAGGCAGGGUCACAGAUGAAUAUUUGUUAGUCAGCUCUUUGUCCAAAAUACCUGCUAACAAUAACUUAAAGGAGGAAAGAUGCAUUUUGGCCGGCAGUCUUUUGCCUAAAAGCCCCAUCUCUGAACCUUGUUGUUUGGGGGGUCAUGAUUUCAACCCAAGCAUUUCAGGAAGAAUCUGGAUGCAAACCACUACAGGACACAGGAUCUUUUAACCCCCGGCAGGCUGGCGCACUGGUGAAACGCACUUGGAUUACACUAGGAAGGCCAAUCUUGGCUGUGCCUCUCAGGGACUUGGAAUCUGAACCCAACCUGAUGGAAUCUUCUCCAGGAUGUGCAUUCACCCGCUGAGCCCCCUGAGGCAGCCUUCAGAGGGGCAGUCUUUGUGGUCAGAUUUGCCAUCUUCCCAUAUAAUGAAGGGAAUUCUAUUAUAUUGCAUGCUUUUCUGAGUCAGUGCUCCAAUUGCCCCUGCUCUUUCCUGGAUCUGUGCCAUGGUCACACUAUUGGGGACACACUGGGAGUUAGGACCCAAGGGGACUUCCAUACACUUUCUGCUUGUUGGUCUGUGACCUCAGCUACCCCGUGGAAACUCCAACCCACUCCUCCCAUGCCUUACUGGGAGGCCAGGAGCAGCUGCGGCAGAUUCUGCCUCGCUAUGGGGUGGGGGUGAGGGUCCGAGGUCAUCAUCUCCAUCCACAUUCUUUUAAAUAAAGGAAGGGAAGUCAGAGGCACACGUGGGGACAACUUAGUUAAUUCCACUACUUUCCUACUAUUGUCUUGAGAAAAAUGUUGAGCAAAGUUUAUGUCCCUUGAGUCUUGGUGAAUAGACAGCAAGUAGCAUUAUUAAAAUGCUAAAGCUUCUUUAGGUUUAAAAUGUUGACCAUCAAAUUACAAUUGCAUUAAGUUAUGUUUAAGUCUCAUAAUAAAGGUAUAAGGAGAGUAAUAAUUUGGGGGUCAUUCCCCCACAAAUGAUGAUCAGGAAGGACUGAGAAAAGAUAGCACAUGGAGAAUACAUGUUCUUAAAAGUGAGCCUAGGGAAAAAAAAACUGCAUCAGUAAGGUUUAAUGAAGCAGAAUAAAAGGAACUACAUGUGUACUGAAAGGGCUUAGGGUACCCAAGCAAGACAAAUGAAAAGAACAUUACAUGAAAACCUAGUCUGGCAAAAAGAACGAAUAUAGAACUAACUAUAGGGACAUUCAGGGAAACCUCAUUAGCAUCCACAUACUAACAAAGGAAUAGGAUUGUGGGUAAGGAGUGCUGGACCGUGUGGCCAGGGACAGGCCUGCCUUGGUCCACCCUUGGAUAGAACUAAGCUCAUUCUCCUGAUCCAGUGUGGCUGCCAGUAGGCGGGUCUGAGAGGCCAGUCAAGCGUGCCCUGGCUAUCAUGUGUAAUGCACGGCAUUAUAAGAGUUAGAAGGUACACUAAUAAUACAGCUAAAAUGUUCUAGAUUUUUAAGAUCUUUAUUUUUUUGUGUGGUUACAGAAACAAUAGAGUCAUCACAAAAUUUUCAACUGUACCAACACAGAAAGCAAAUGUAUAACACAGAAAGCAAAUGUCCCUGUAAUCCUACCCUAGAAUAACUAAUUGAUUCUUUCAGAUACAUUUUUGGCCACAGGCCUAGAUAGUCCCAUAAACCAGACUCAUUAUUACCAGCAUAAUCUUAACUCAAAACUUGUUGGUGGCUUCCCAUUCUCUGUUGCUACAAUGCAAUGCCCCAGACAGAGCAAUCUAUAAAGAAUAAAGGUUUUUUCAGUUCAUGGGCAUUGAAAAUUCAAGAUAAGAUCAGGGGCCUAAUCUGGUAAGUUCAAAGGCCAUUCAACAUUGACAUGGCAAGACAGAGGGUCCUAGCUCAGGUCUCUCCCCUUCUUCUUAUACAGCCACAGUCCCACUGGGCGAGGACCCCACCUUUAUGGCCCCAGUUAACCUUAAUUACCUCCUAGAGGUCAUACUUCUACACAUCGUGAUUGGAUCAAGUGUUCACCUCUUACACCUCACAAUGGAAACUGGAUUUCAACAUGAGUUUUCUUGGGGACAUUCAAACCACAGCAAUACCUAGGAACCCACAUAUAUUUUUUUUAAAAAUUCAUUCUGAAGAUAGAUCGGUUUAUUUUAUGAUAUUGAUGGGGUUUGUGCUCUUCCAUAACUUUUUGCUAUUACGCUGAGCAUCCCUGAUUCCCACGGUACUUCCAAUCAGCAUGGAAAAGAUGGUUCAUACCACAGA